GGGCUUAACUGUCUCCCCCCUCCAGUCAGUGAAAUUGAUCUAUCCGUGCAGAAGCGGGUAUAACUCUACAAGACGAGAAGACCCUUUGGAGCUUAAGGUACAAAAUUCAGCCACGUCAAGCAACUCUACAGAAAGCAAGAACUUAGUGGUCAUGAGAUUUUACCUUCGGUUGGGGCGACCGCGGAGGAAAAGCAAGCCUCCGAGUGGACCGGGCCAAAACCCCUAAAGCUAAAAGAAACAUCUUAAGGCCGCAGAACAUCUGACCAACAAUGAUCCGGCUAAGAGGCCGAUCAACGGACCAAGUUACCCUAGGGAUAACAGCGCAAUCCUCUCCCAGAGCCCAUAUCGACGAGGGGGUUUACGACCUCGAUGUUGGAUCAGGACAUCCUGGUGGUGCAGCCGCUAUUAAGGGUUCGUUUGUUCAACGAUUAAAGUCCUACGUGAUCUGAGUUCAGACCGGAGCAUUCCAGGUCAGUUUCUAUCUGUAACGCUACUUUUCCUAGUACGAAAGGAUCGGAAAAAGGGGGCCCAUACCUAGCGCAUGCCCCGCCCCUUAUUUAUGAAAACAAAUAAAUUAAAUAAGGGAGGGCCAAAACCCCUGCCGCC
rnacentral:rRNA from 1 species